CAUGUCCUUUUGAAUAUAAUUUAAGGUCUGAUCUGCUCAAUGAGGAGUUAAAUUGCCGCGGUAUUAUGACCGUGCGAAGGUAGCAUAAUAAUUAGCUUUUUUAUUGAAAGCUGGAAUGAAUGAUUGGACGAGAAAACAUCUGUCUCUACUUAAUUUUUUGUUGAAUUUAACUUUUAAGUAAAAAGGCUUAAAUGGUUUAGAAAGACGAGAAGACCCUAUAGAGUUUAAUAUUUUAUUUAUUGGGAGGGUUUUAGUAUUUAUUUCUUUCAUUUUUUAAAUUAUUUAGUUGGGGUGACUAGAAGAAAAAAUUAACUCUUCUAUUGUUUUAUUACUGAUUUGUAAAUAAUUAUUCUGGAUUUAUCAAGUUUAAUAUAAAUUACCUUAGGGAUAACAGCGUAAUUUCCUUUUAGAGUUCUUAUUCAAAGGGGAGUUUGCGACCUCGAUGUUGGAUUAAAAUUAAUGUUGGGUGCAGUAGCUCAAUUAUUGGGUCUGUUCGACCCUUGAAAUUUUACAUGAUCUGAGU
rnacentral:rRNA from 1 species